AUAUAUAUAAGUAUGCAGAGUUUUUAGCUGAUACAGAUGUGGUAAAAAACUAAUUGCUUACAAAAUAUUCAAAAUUAUGAAGAUACAGUAACAAAAAAAAUCCACUGACGGAUGCUAAAUCGAGCAAUCUCAUACAGUCUACAUUAUACAGAAUUGGUACUGGAAAUGAAAUAAUUACCCAAAAGCAACUGGACUCAGCAAUAAUUAAAUUUGUUGUUCAUAAUACACAGCCAAUUAAUAUUAUUGACAAGCCAGUAUUUUUAAAUUUAAUUAGGUUGGGACUACCAAAAUCAUUAAGUGUAAUGUGUUCAAAAACAUUAAAAACACGGUUAAACUCUGCAGCUGAUUCAAUAGUAAAUCAUAUUACUAAAGCACUGUCAAAUAUUGAAUAUAAGAAACCGCAGAUUGUUGGACCCAAGAUAAAAAAAAUCUUACCUUGGCAUAACAGCCCAUUGGAUUAAUACAACAAUGUUAGUUAGAAAAGGUGCAUCAUUAGCUUGUGCAGUGAUAAAAGGGUUUUUUGAAUUGAUAAAAAUUAUGAGGAAAACUUAUUCGUUGAAGAUCAGAAUAAUGAUGAAGAAAUAGAGUAAAUUUGAAAUUGAUUUAACUAGUAUAAUUGAAAAUGCUGAAGGUGGUGCAGAAAAUGAUUAUGUAAAUGAAGUUAGUUUGUCGUCUCACUGACGAUAUGUGAGUCAUACUUUGAACUUGGUCGCAACAAAAGAUCCUGAAAAAUGGUUCAAUGAAAAUGAAAGAAAGGCUGAUGUUCUUCAACUCAAAAAGCUCUACAGAAAACUCUUUGUCAAAACAAAAUCACUCAACAAUUGUGGCAGAAAAAAUUCAUGAAGUACUUAAUGUGUAUUUCAAAGUACCUAUUAAAACAAGAUGGAAUUCCAUGUAUGAUGCAUUACUUCAAUUAAAAAAAACCGGGUGGCUUAGAAAAAUUGAACCAAGUCCUAGAUUUUAUUACAUUAUUAUGAAUAUUAAAGGAAGAAGCUUUAUUCAUUAAUGAAUUUUGUGAUAUAUUUGGACCAUUCGCAGAGUUUUUAGAUUUCUUACAAGGUGAAUAAGCUAUGUGUAUAUGGGAUAUCUGCUUCGAAUUUUACAUGUUUUAGAGAUGUAUUAAAGUAGACAAUGUAAACCUAUGACGUAUUGUACACUUCUAUAGGAAGCUGUUUUAAGAUCAAUAAAAAAAAGAUUUGAUCACAUAUGGAUGGAAAAAUAAUUAGUGAUUGCUGCAUGUCUUAUUCCAAGAUUUAAAUUAAAUUAGCUGGAAGGUAACGACAAAUUGAAUGCAGAAUUAUUUUUAAAAACUGAGUUUUCAUGUUCUGAAAAUGAAGUAUCUGAUGGUAAUUCAGAUAGAGAUUCUGAUUCUGUUCAAAUAAAGAUUUUUUUUUGUUUACCAACAAAAAGCUAUUAUAAUAAAAUAUAACCUCGGAUCAAGAACUUUUAAAUUUCUUAAAAAACAAAAAUGUUAAUUUAAAAGUUUAUUUACAUUUCCUAAAGUACUAUCCAAAUUCAUUUAGUUUGAUACAAGUUUACCCACUAGUGCACCUGUAGCAAGGUUAUUUAGUAUUGGUGGAAAUGUAAUUACCUUAAAACGCUAUA